ACGGGAGGCAGCAGUAGGGAAUCUUCCGCAAUGGGCGAAAGCCUGACGGAGCAACGCCGCGUGAGUGAUGAAGGUCUUCGGAUCGUAAAACUCUGUUAUUAGGGAAGAACAAACGUGUAAGUAACUGUGCACGUCUUGACGGUACCUAAUCAGAAAGCCACGGCUAACUACGUGCCAGCAGCCGCGGUAAUACGUAGGUGGCAAGCGUUAUCCGGAAUUAUUGGGCGUAAAGCGCGCGUAGGCGGUUUUUUAAGUCUGAUGUGAAAGCCCACGGCUCAACCGUGGAGGGUCAUUGGAAACU
rnacentral:rRNA from 1 species